GGGCGUUACGCGACAAGGUGUCCAAGGUGACUGUAAAUCACCUGUCUCUGACAUGCGGGGUUCGAUUCCCUGAGCGCCCACCA
rnacentral:tRNA from 1 species